rnacentral:rRNA from 1 species
GCGGAAGGAUCAUUAACGAGUUGAACGGGGUUGUAGCUGGCCUUCACGGGCAUGUGCACACCUCACUCAUCCACUCUACACCUGUGCACUUACUGUGGGUUUCGAGAGGCCGCGCUUGCGUGGUUGAUCGGGCUCACGUCUAUUACAAACUCUUCAGUAUCAGAAUGUGUAUCGCGAUGUAACGCAUCUAUAUACAACUUUCAGCAACGGAUCUCUUGGCUCUCGCAUCGAUGAAGAACGCAGCGAAAUGCGAUAAGUAAUGUGAAUUGCAGAAUUCAGUGAAUCAUCGAAUCUUUGAACGCACCUUGCGCUCCUUGGUAUUCCGAGGAGCAUGCCUGUUUGAGUGUCGUGUAAUUCUCAACCUAUAAAUCCUUGUGGUUUUUAGGCUUGGACUUGGAGGCUUUUGCUGGCUUUACCGUCGGCUCCUCUUAAACGCAUUAGCUUGAUUCCUUGCGGAUCGGCUCUCAGUGUGAUAAUUAUCUGCGCUGUGACCGUGAAGCGUUUGGCGAGCUUCUAACCGUCUCUUCGAGACAAACACUUUGACAUCUGACCUCAAAUCAGGUAGGACUACCCGCUGAACUUAAGCAUAU